rnacentral:lncRNA from 1 species
AGAAUGAUUUUUUUAAACCAACUAUUUUUGGUGUCAGGUUAAUUAAAUAUUUUUUCUCUCAAGAAACAUGCAGACUGUGAAGCUGAACCACAAACAACAAAUCUGUCCAACUCCUUGAAAAUUAGAAAGGAUUGAAAAGAAAUUAAUAACUCUGAGAAAACAAGAAUCAUCCAGAAAAAAGGCCAAAAUCAACACUCAGGGGAGCUUUGAUUGUUAGCUCCCCUUUUCAAAAAAGACUAGUAACCCAAACUCUGCCUCUUGCAAUGAAACUGCCACCAAUAAGAGAGAGAGAUGCAAUAUAAGAUAAACUGCCUGCAGUAAUAUUAACCCUUUCCUGACUCAAUGACAAGAAGAGAAAAUACAACACCUUCUGGAGAACCAGAUCCUAUAAUGAGGAAUACAGAAACUUCUUCAGUGUUAACCAACAUAACAUUAUAAACAAGGCUAGUCUCUCAUCUCUGCAAAGAAGUGGGAUAAGGGAGAACAAGGUAGAGCAAGAAUAUUCAAGGACAAGGAAACUACUCUUGCUUUCUAUUAUGGAUACAUAUAUCCUUUUCAUUGGAGCCAAUAUCAAAGAUUAAGAAAGUUAACUUUUAUAGGAGGUGUUAAGGUG